UGUCUCAAAGAUUAAGCCAUGCAUGUCUAAGUAUAAGCAAUCUAUACGGUGAAACUGCGAAUGGCUCAUUAAAUCAGUUAUCGUUUAUUUGAUAGUACCUUACUACAUGGAUAACCGUGGUAAUUCUAGAGCUAAUACAUGCUAAAAACCCCGACUUCGGAAGGGGUGUAUUUAUUAGAUAAAAAACCAGCGCCCUCCGGGGCUCCUUGGUGAUUCAUGAUAACUCAACGAAUCGCAUGGCCUUGCGCCGGCGAUGGUUCAUUCAAAUUUCUGCCCUAUCAACUUUCGAUGGUAGGAUAGUGGCCUACCAUGGUAUCAACGGGUAACGGGGAAUUAGGGUUCUAUUCCGGAGAGGGAGCCUGAGAAACGGCUACCACAUCCAAGGAAGGCAGCAGGCGCGCAAAUUACCCAAUCCCGACACGGGGAGGUAGUGACAAUAAAUACUGAUACAGGGCUCUUUYGGGUCUUGUAAUUGGAAUGAGUACAAUUUAAAUCCCUUAACGAGGAACAAUUGGAGGGCAAGUCUGGUGCCAGCAGCCGCGGUAAUUCCAGCUCCAAUAGCGUAUAUUAAAGUUGUUGCAGUUAAAAAGCUCGUAGUUGAACCUUGGGCCUGGCUGGCCGGUCCGCCUCACCGCGUGUACUGGUCCGGCCGGGCCUUUCCUUCUGGGGAGCCGCAUGCCCUUCGCUGGGCGGCCGGGGAACCAGGACUUUUACUUUGAAAAAAUUAGAGUGUUCAAAGCAGGCCUUUGCUCGAAUACAUUAGCAUGGAAUAA
rnacentral:rRNA from 1 species